AUUGAACGCUGGCGGCAUGCCUUACACAUGCAAGUCGAACGGCAGCACGGGAGCAAUCCUGGUGGCGAGUGGCGAACGGGUGAGUAAAGUAUCGGAACGUGCCCAGUCGUGGGGGAUGACGUAGCGAAAGUUACGCUAAUACCGCAUACGAUCUAUGGAUGAAAGCGGGGGAUCGCAAGACCUCGCGCGAUUGGAGCGGCCGAUAACAGAUUAGGUAGUUGGUGGGGUAAAGGCUCACCAAGCCGACGAUCUGUAGCUGGUCUGAGAGGACGACCAGCCACACUGGGACUGAGACACGGCCCAGACUCCUACGGGAGGCAGCAGUGGGGAAUUUUGGACAAUGGGCGAAAGCCUGAUCCAGCCAUGCCGCGUGCAGGAUGAAGGCCUUCGGGUUGUAAACUGCUUUUGUACGGAACGAAAAGGUUUGGCCUAAUAAGCUGAGCUCAUGACGGUACCGUAAGAAUAAGCACCGGCUAACUACGUGCCAGCAGCAGCCGCAG
rnacentral:rRNA from 1 species